UACGGAGGGGGCUAGCGUUGUUCGGAAUUACUGGGCGUAAAGCGCACGUAGGCGGCUUUGUAAGUUAGAGGUGAAAGCCCGGGGCUCAACUCCGGAAUUGCCUUUAAAACUACAUCGCUAGAAUUGUGGAGAGGUAAGUGGAAUUCCGAGUGUAGAGGUGAAAUUCGUAGAUAUUCGGAAGAACACCAGUGGCGAAGGCGACUUACUGGACACAUAUUGACGCUGAGGUGCGAAAGCGUGGGGAGCAAACAGGG
rnacentral:rRNA from 1 species